rnacentral:rRNA from 1 species
UACGGAGGGUGCAAACGUUGCUCGGAAUCAUUGGGCGUAAAGAGCUCGUAGGCGGUUUGUCGCGUCUGCCGUGAAAACCCGAGGCUUAACCUCGUGGCUUGCGGUGGAUACGGGCAGACUAGAGGUAGGUAGGGGAGAAUGGAAUUCCCGGUGUAGCGGUGAAAUGCGCAGAGAUCGGAAAGAACACCAACGGCGAAAGCACUCUGCUGGGCCGACACUGACACUGAGAGACGAAAGCUAGGGUAGCAAACGGG